AAUGCUUCACACAAAUCACUACAUCCAUUUGUAAAGUUUUCAAAGAAGCUUGACAUGAACUGCAGGCAACAAUCUUUUAUUGUGAAAACAGUAUCAAAUCAUUUGUGAUCAGCAUUACUUGUGUGCUUUUGUCAACUGUUCCUGUGAUAACAGGCGUAUCACACGAAGAGGAAACCUUGAUGAAAUUGCCUACACGAUGAGUUGCACUUCUAUUGGACAUGGCAAAACACCCAUCGUUCAGCCAUUUUAUUGGUUGGAUAUCUUUGAUAGAUCACUUUCCACAAAUUGCAUGGAUUGGGAGAUCCUAGCCACUAAGAUGAUGGAUCAUUUGCACUAUCGUAGACCAUUUUGCCAACAUUCCUCAAAAACCAAUUAUUACACUGAUUGGAUGCAUCAGCAGGAAUUCCCAACCGGGACCCCACCAAAUGAUCUCUCCAGGUCACUAUGCCGAUGUUCAAUUUGAGUGCAGUUCACAUUUAAGGAAACCUAGUACUCUGCGUACAGGCUAGGUCUCUCAUUUUUCAAGUAGUAAAAUGUUCUUGCCAAAUUGAGAUUCAAGCUCACAGCAUGACCCAUUGAUGAAAUUUUGAGAUUGUUUCCAAUUGAUUACCCCACAGUUCUUGCUUGGAUCAACCCAUAUAAUGAAGCAGCCAUUGUUUCAUCAAGCUUGCACAGCAACCUUUAAUGGUUGUGAUGACAAAGGCAAGGGUUACAUCACAAAGCAACAAGUAUCUAAGCUAUUCAACUUGUUUGACAGUGACAAUGACGAUGCUAUUAGUUCCGACAAUUUCAUGGCCUGCCUAAGAAGGAACCCACUGCUUGUUGCACUUUUUGCUUCUAAUUCGAUGCAUUGUGGCUUGAUAGAAGGUGGAAAGCUAGUGAUUGAAUGAUGAUUAUAUGGGCAUAUUAAAGUCCCUGUGAAAUGCUUGAUGAUUGGCUUCUAAUUCAACGUUGUGUGACUUACAAUAGGUGGGAAACUAGAGGUUAUAUGAUGAACAUAUGGGAAUAUGAUUAAAUGAAAUGAUCGAUGUUUGGCUUAUCUUGAAAUGAAAGUCCUGUAACAAGGCUAUUGCUUUUAAUAA